GGACCUGUUGGCGCAGUGGCUAGCGCACCCACAAUAACUUUUAAUUCUAUCCAUUAUGUGGGAGGCCCCAGUUCGACUCUGGGAUGUCUG